CUUUUCGAUGUAACAGUCAUCUCCCCCUCCUCCUCUUUCACUCUGAAAGCAUCUUCCUCUUCUUUUACUGUAACAUCCGCCUCCUCUUUCACUCUGAACGCGUCUUCCUCUUCUUUCACUGAAACGUCUUUCUCUUCUUCUUUCAUGGUAACAGCCUCAACCUCUACUUCUUUUUUUACUGUAACAUCCUCCUCCUCCUUUUUCACUCUGAACGAGUCUUCCUCUUCUAUCACUGAAACGUCUUUCUCUUCUUCUUUCACGAUAACAGCCUCACCCUCUACUGCAACAGCCUCCUCUUCUUUAGCAGAAGGAGAGUAUCUUAGUGACCGCAUGGUUAGGCUAAUGCUAACUUAACCAGCCCGCUAGCUGACUAAUAACAACACCCUAAAUAUUAAAAUAAAUCUGAUAACUAACUAGACGACAGAAAUGGGUUGAAAACACGGUGGUUAAUAAACACAAACGCGUCUAAAGAGCUUUAUUGGUUUGGCUAUUUUGUCUAGCAAGCUACGGAGGUGUCUAACUGUUGCUGAUGUUGAUGUUGAAAGAAGCGUUCCGUCCACUAGAAAAUUCGUCACACUAGCAGCAUUGCCUUAAAGUCGCACACCGCCCUCUGUUGACUGGAGUGGGUAACGCAGACAGGACAUGGACACAAUGCAAUUGGGAUCAAGAAGAUUUCAACGCUCUUCACUGCACAUCGGCGGAAGCCCAUUUCACCAUGAGAAUGAAAUCCCGCUGGCC